rnacentral:rRNA from 1 species
GACGAACGCUGGCGGCGUGCUUAACACAUGCAAGUCGAACGGAAAGGCCCAGCUUGCUGGGUACUCGAGUGGCGAACGGGUGAGUAACACGUGGGUUAUCUGCCCUCUACUUUGGGAUAAGCCUGGGAAACUGGGUCUAAUACCGGAUAUGAUCAACUGUCGCAUGGUGUUUGGUGGACAGCUUUUGCGGUUGGGGAUGGGCCCGCGGCCUAUCAGCUUGUUGGUGGGGUAUUGGCCUACCAAGGCGACGACGGGUAGCCGACCUGAGAGGGUGAUCGGCCACACUGGGACUGAGACACGGCCCAGACUCCUACGGGAGGCAGCAGUGGGGAAUAUUGCACAAUGGGCGCAAGCCUGAUGCAGCGACGCCGCGUGAGGGAUGACGGCCUUCGGGUUGUAAACCUCUUUCACCAGGGACGAAGCGUGAGUGACGGUACCUGGAGAAGAAGCACCGGCCAACUACGUG